rnacentral:rRNA from 1 species
GAUGAACGCUGGCGGCGUGCUUAACACAUGCAAGUCGAACGGUGAAGCGCCUUCCUUUUUGGUGGGUGUGGAUGAGUGGCGAACGGGUGAGUAACACGUGAGUAACCUGCCCCCUUCUUCUGGAUAACCGCAUGAAAGUGUGGCUAAUACGGGAUAUUCUGGGUCUGUCGCAUGAUGGGUCUGGGAAAGAUAUUGUUUCGGUGGGGGAUGGGCUCGCGGCCUAUCAGCUUGUUGGUGGGGUGAUGGCCUACCAAGGCGGUGACGGGUAGCCGGCCUGAGAGGGUGGACGGUCACACUGGGACUGAGACACGGCCCAGACUCCUACGGGAGGCAGCAGUGGGGAAUAUUGCACAAGGGGCGCAAGCCUGAUGCAGCGACGCCGCGUGAGGGAUGGAGGCCUUCGGGUUGUGAACCUCUUUCGCCAGUGAAGCAGGCCUGCCUCGUUUGUGGGUGGGUUGACGGUAGCUGGAUAAGAAGCGCCGGCUAACUACGUG